rnacentral:rRNA from 1 species
AAUGAACGCUGGCGGCAUGCCUAAUACAUGCAAGUCGAACGACAUCAUCGGAUCAAGUGGCGCAUGGGUGCGGAACGCGUGGGAAUGUGCCCGUGGGUAUGGAAAACUUCUUUGUAACGGAGGCUAACACCGGAAAAUGAAGUAAGACCAAAGAUUUAUCCCCCAAGGAUGAGCCGGGGUAGGUUUAGGUAGUUGGUGUGGUAAAGGCGGAUCAAGGCGACGAUCCUUAGCGGGGAUGAGAGGAUGAGCCGCCACACUUGGACUGAGACACGGUCCAGACUCCUACGGGAUGCAGCAGUAGGGAAUAUUGGACUAUGGGCGAAAGCCUGAUCCAGCUAUGCCGCGUGAGUGAUGAAGGCCUUAGGGUUGUAAAGCUCUUUUACCCGGGAUGAUAAUGACAGUACCGGGAGAAUAAGCUCCGGCUAACUCCGUG